UACGUAGGGGGCAAGCGUUGUCCGGAAUCAUUGGGCGUAAAGCGCGUGUAGGCGGCCCGGUAAGUCCGCUGUAAAAGUCCAGGGCUCAACCCUGGAAAGCCGGUGGAUACUGUCGGGCUCGAGUCCGGAAGAGGCGAGUGGAAUUCCUGGUGUAGCGGUGAAAUGCGCAGAUAUCAGGAGGAACACCGAUGGCGAAGGCAGCUCGCUGGGACGGUACUGACGCUGAGACGCGAAAGCGUGGGGAGCAAACAGG
rnacentral:rRNA from 1 species